CCUCCCUCUCACCCCCGGGCCGCGCCGGAGGAUGCCGGGCCGGCACAGAUAAGGCCCUGGCCGACUGGCCGCGCCUGAUAAGGAGCCGGGCUGACCCCGGAGGAAACCGGCUGGCGGGGAGCUCCGAGCCGGGGCCUCACGGCCCCGCCCCCGGCCGGCGACGGACAGGGCCGUCACCCCUCAGGGCCUCACCUUACGUCCUCCCAGGCACUGGAGUGGCCCAGGGUCUCUGAGGACCCCGACCCAGCGCGCCGCUGGGAGUGAGACCGCCUGCCGGGCUUCGCGCCACCCCCACCCCAGACUGGGGCACUGGAGGGAAGGCAGUUCUGACAGUCUGCCCUCGCGUGUCCUGCCUGGCCCAAGUGUCCUGGGCCCCCAGGCCUGCUCUCCACACCACCUUUUCAGGCCCAGGAGGGCCCCCCUCACCCGCGUCCAUCACACUUUGCCUCCAGUGUAUCUGGGGGCACCCUCCCAGGAG